GAUGUACUCCCUCCGUCCGGAAUUACUUGUCGUCGAAAUGGAUAAAAAUGAAUGUAUUUAAAACUAAAACAUGUCUACAUACAUCCAUUUUUUUGACAAAUAUUUCCGGACGGAGGGAGUACUUC
rfam:Triticum aestivum genome assembly, contig: Triticum_aestivum_CS42_TGACv1_scaffold_407298_5BL